rnacentral:misc_RNA from 1 species
CAACCCUCAAGCAAUGCUUGGUAUUGGGCUCCGCUGCUUAUCUAGCGGGCCUUAAAAUCAGUGGCGGUGCCGUCUGGCCCUGAGCGCAGUAAAUAUCCUCGCUACAGGGACUAGGUAGACGCUGGCCAUCAACCCCCAACUCUCUAA